rnacentral:rRNA from 1 species
AUACGGAGGAUCCGAGCGUUAUCCGGAUUUAUUGGGUUUAAAGGGAGCGUAGGUGGACAGUUAAGUCAGUUGUGAAAGUUUGCGGCUCAACCGUAAAAUUGCAGUUGAUACUGGUUGUCUUGAGUACAGUAGAGGUGGGCGGAAUUCGUGGUGUAGCGGUGAAAUGCUUAGAUAUCACGAAGAACUCCGAUUGCGAAGGCAGCUCACUGGACUGCAACUGACACUGAUGCUCGAAAGUGUGGGUAUCAAACAGGAUUAGAUACCCUGGUAGUCCACACAGUAAACGAUGAAUACUCGCUGUUUGCGAUAUACAGUAAGCGGCCAAGCGAAAGCAUUAAGUAUUCCACCUGGGGAGUACGCCGGCAACGGUGAAACUCAAAGGAAUUGACGGG